CGGCUCCUCGAUCCCAUCUCUUUCCUUUUGCACGCCACCCUUUCCCUCCCCUUCCAUCCGCACCGUCGCUCCCUGCCUAGCCCAGCGAGGCGACGCCCCACGAGCUCGGCCACAAGUCCGACGGCGAAACCAUCGAGUGGCUGCUGCAGCAGGCGGAGCCCGCCAUCCUCGCGGCCACCGGCACCGGAACCAUGCCGGCCAACUACUCCUCGCUCAACAUCUCCAUCCGCCCGGGAGAGCCGCCGCCGCCGCUAACCCUACCCGCGCCGCGCCGUUCCCGGCGCUCGCGCUCCACCCGCACCACCACCAGGCGCCCCCCGCGCCGCACGACAUGCCCGCCAUGAUGGGCUACCACCACAACCUCCUCCAGCCACAGCAACAGGACCCCAGCGCCGGCGACGCCAACAUGCGGAAGCGCUACAGGGAGGACCUUUUCAAGGAGGAUGACGACCGCCAAGAUCUGAGCGCGCCCAAGGCGCGCGAGCAGCAGACGGCGGCGAGGCUGAUUUAGAUCUCAUCCUCGUCGUCUCUUUCCUCCAUCGGCUGUCCCGCAGCCCGAUGCCGCCGGUGGCUGCCGCCCGUUCGGGAGCGCCGCGCCUCUACCUGAAGACCCACGGGACCAGGGUCGCGAGGCUGCACCUGCUCGACUGGGUCGUGCUGGCCCUCCUCGUCGCCCUCGACGGCACGCUCAACGCCAUCGAGCCUUUCCACCGGUUCGUCUCCGGUACCCGCUCAAUGACAACACAAUGCCCGUCUGGGAUGUGCCGGUGCUCGCCGUCAUCGCGCCGGUGGCCAUCAUCGCCGGGAUAUACGUGAGGAGGAAGAGAGGUACUCCAGUGCGGUGCUUUUGAUAGUGGAAGUGAUCUCGAUAAAAUCCCAGUGGAAGUGAUCUCGAUAAAAUAGAAGCAAGCACUUUAUCCUUCUUUUUAAGAGUAUAAAGAAGAAUAAACUGCUUACUUCUACCUGUCCAGUGCCGUGCUUUUGAUAGUUCAACAUUAACGCAAGUCAAAUAUUAGCACUAUAGUAUUCUUAUGAAGUAAAUGGUGGUAGCAUCUAUUAAAUGGUUUAGUGAUUGUUUAAAAUCUGGUACCCUGAUAAUUUCUAUUACCCCUUUUUACUGUAGUUUCAGCAUAUAUGUAUGUCUGCAUUUGUGAUGACUUGAUUUUCUUGGCAUCCAAGUAUCCAACUGGUAUUAAGAAGGUGAACUGCUGUAGUUGACAGAGAGAGAAAUGUGUUUUUUCAGUACCAAGAACUCGUUCUAGGAUGGUCUCUUUAUAUGCUCAUGGUCAUGGACAACAUACUGGUUCCCUAUUCUUUUCAGCACAAUAUUCUGUUGCAAGAUACAGUGCUAUUUCUCGUAGAAGCCAUAAUGCAUUCUUUGUACUAAUGCAAGAUGUAACAGUAAUAAUAAAUACAUGACAUUUUAUGUCUGAAAGAAAAUUCAAUCAUAAAGGAAUCAGUUGGGUAUGGCAUCAAUUUGAAAUGAUCACUAUUAGUGAAUGCAAAAUAUGUGCAAAUCAAUGUAAUUUUUUUUGCUUUUAUGCUAUAACUUGCAUCAUGUAAAUAAGCAUGACAAAGUGGACAUGGCAUGAUCCAUUAUCCAUUUUUUAAAUACAAAUUCAAAAUGUUUACUUUGCAGCUUGGCUACCAUUUCUUAUGUGAUCUAUAGAAUUGUGAAUAUGUUCAUGCUUAUCGGUGUCAAGUGGUAAUGGGAAAACACUUAAAUUAUUGUGUGUCAAAUGAGAGAUUUUUAGAUGAAUAAAGUUUUAUGCUAGCCAAGUAAAUGGUGUCUAGGUUCCCACCAUACAUUUAGUUAAAAGAAGCUACAAGAUUUAAUAUGCAGGAUGGUUGGUACGUUCCCGAGAUCGUUUUGUACACUAUGUAAUGCUUAACAAUUGAGACCGAUUUGGAGUUUGGAACACAUCUAUUGGUUGAUAGCUAUUUUUUCCAUGAACAUUAGUUUGGCAGUAUUUAUUCUAAUAUAUUCUAGGGUAUGAAAUGUAAAUGAAGAGUUUUAUGGUGCUGGAGUUUGGAGCUGUAUGAUGUAUUUGAGAGAUGAAAUGAUAAAAUUGUUGCUUUUUUAUGUGCUUA